AGUCACCAAGCAUUCCCAAUGAAAUUCCGCCUCCUAGUGCUACAGUUGAAGCAAUAUACAGGGUUCCCUGAUUGAGCAAGAGAGGGAACAGUGAGAACCUAUCCUAGCUAAGUCCAAUACAUCCCCAUCAACAGCUUUUUACCUUUUGUUCCCCUCUCCCCAAGAAGGGAAGACAGCGGUACCAAGUAGAUAGAAAGAUAGUAGCCUGCAUUUCCGUUAGGAAGCUGACUCUCUUUUUUGGCAUCCUUGGGUCAAAGAACUGAAGUAUCCUUUAAGAAAAAUAAAAGAGAAAUGUAGACACAGAACAUAUUGACUAUGAGAUGCGAAUACAGGAGCAUUUACUACCAGCAUAGAUGAAAAUCAAUCUACUGUGGAAGAAAAAAUGGGAAUCUACCUUCAAGUAGCAUUCAAAGAAGAAUUGGGUUAAAAAAUGCUAAAAGAAGCAGUCAAAAAAGGAAUAAUCAGCAGCUCUCAGCAAUUAUCCUAAACUUAGUGCCAGGAUCCCCUGCUAUAGUCACUUACCUGAGACAAAGAUAGUAAAGGUCAAAGUCAACAGAUUUGGCCAUAUUGAAUUUCUAGUGACCAGGGCUGCAUUCAACAAAGGCAGAGUAGAUAUUAUGGCCAUCCAUGCUGCAAGGUUUAUAUCUUCUAAUAUGAUUACACUUGUGGCAAGUUCAAGAGCCCUGUUAAGACUGAGACUGAAAAGCUGGUGAUCUAUGGAAAAGCCAUUACCAUCUUUCAGAAGUUGGAUCCCACCAAUAUUAAAUGAGGAGGUGCUGGAUCCAAGUAUCUUUUCCACCAUGGAAAAGACUGGGACUCACUUAAAGGGUGGAGUCAAGCAGAUCAUUACCUUUUUGCUGAUGCCUGAAUGUGAUGGGAAUGAAUCAUGAGAAUUCUCCAGAAGAUUAUCAGUAAUGCCUCCUACCAACAAUGCUUGGUCUUCUUGACUGUAGUCAUUCAUUACAACUUUGACAUUGUGAAAAGACUCAUGACUACAGUGCAUACCAAUACAUGCACCCCAGAAGACAGCAAAUGGUCCCUCUGGCAAGAUAUGAUGCAGUGGGUAUAGUGCUGCCCAAAAUAUCAUCCCUGCUUCCACUCGGGCUUCUCAGAAUGUAGCUAAGUCAUACCAGAGCUGACAGGGAAGCUUGCAGACAUGACUUUCCAAUGUUCCUACUCCCCAUGUUUCUACUGUGGAUCUGACUUGCUACCUGGAGAAAGCUGCCAAAUAUGAUGAUAUUAAGAAGGUAGCAAAGCAAGCAUCAGAGGGACCUUUGAAAGGCGUCUUUGCUACUCAGAGUAGUAAUAGGUUUUAUUCUGUUACAUCAAUAGUGACACCAACUCUUAAUACCUUUGCUGCUGGCACUGGUAUUGUCUUCGAUGACCAUUCUGUCAAGCUUAUUUCCUGGUAUGAAAAUGAAGACAUUUAUAGCAAACAUGUAUUAAGACCUCAUGCUCUACAUGGCCUCCAAGACGUAAUUAAACUAGAAACUCCUGGGUCUUCAUCCCCAACCAAAAAAGAAGUUCCAAUUCUGGAGAGCCCAUAUCCAUAAACUAUGUCGCUAUACUGGGAAUCCUAUGCCCCAUUCACAUUCUUGCCCCAAAGUAAGGAUCACUGCAGGAGGGAGGAGCAUAAGGUCCUAUAGUGUGUAUCAUCAACAAAGUUACCAUAUCCAAUGCAAAAAAAAUUUUAAAGGACUUAUCAAAGAGUAGCACUUCUGACAAUUUUGCUUAUUUCAGCAAAGGAAUGUACUACAUUUAUGGAUUUUUAAUACCAAAUAAAAGUGAGUGAGAGAAUAAGACAACUGAA